rnacentral:misc_RNA from 1 species
AUAUUAUUCAGGUUUGCCUUGUAUAGGAUUCUUCUUCCGUAUAAAUUGUAAUUAUUCUUUUCAAUGAAAGUAUGAAUAAUCACCUUUUUUUCAAGUAUUGUUAACUCUUACGUAUCUUAAACCCUGUCAGAUACUUUUUUUUAUGAAAUGUGAUCGAUAGACAAAUUGGGUCAUGACCUGAAGCAAGUUGGCUAUGUCCCUGCAUAGGUCCAAAGAAAUCGGGAUUUACGCUCAGGUGGAUAAGUUGCCAUUGCUGUUGCAAAAUUUUUCUUGCUUGAAUUGUAGAACAGGAUCGAAAAUUG